GACAAUAUAGAAGACAAUCAAACGAUUAGCUUAAAAGAACCCAAGUAUGGAAUCCACCAUAUAUGAGAAAACCUCAAGUUUAUUGAAUUCAGAAUGAUAGCAGAAAGCCUGCAAACCUUGCACCUUUUAAGAGUGUACAAUUGUUUUUUUGUUUUAUUUUUUUAAAAAAGUACGUAGUUCAGUUUUAUAUUGAUAUGAUUUUUGUCCAAAUAUUUCUAGGCAUCUUGGAAAUGCUGUAGCUUACUAACUAAUCAAUAUUAAUUGUACAUAUAAUCAUGGGUGCUUGAAUUCAUAAGAAAAUAUUAUUGCUGGGUACAUAUAAUCUUAGGGGCUAGACUUUUGAAACGUAACAUAGGGGCACUACUACAAAAAAGCAAAAAGACGACGGUAAAUCACCGUCGUGUAUUUGGUUUUUCAAUGGUCGUGGAAUCC
rnacentral:lncRNA from 1 species